GGAGUGUUUGAGUGAGAAACAAACUUCCUACUUCUCUCUUUUGCCAAAGAUUGGCUCUGGGCACCAGCCUUUAGAGUUGCAGCCAAGGAAAACAUCAUCCAACGCUCCAAUUUCAAAUAGGACUGCGGGUUUUCUGCAACCCAGAGGAAGGCUGAGAUCAGGGCCCCUGGCCCAGACGACCGGGACUCCAGCUUCCCGAUUCCUGGCAGAUCACAGCCCCGGAAGUACUGUUAAGAAACCGGCAACUGGCUUGUGAAAGAAUAAGACAUAUUCACUGUUGUUUUCCCUUGAAUGGAAUCAGUGGAUGCUCUGCCUCAAGAUUUAUCUCCAGCCUGACAACAGCAUUCAAGACAUGUAGGUGGGGGAAGAAAAUCCUAACUUUAGUAGGUAACAAUGACACAGCCCAAGAUUUUUUCUGUUUAAACCUCCUUAUGCUAAAGCAGUUAGAAAUCUGCCGAAGAGAAUCAGGUUAGUGAGCUCGUACCAGUCACAUAACCGCAGUCUCUUAAUCUGUAAAUCGAGGGCAGCCAUUUCCAGCUAACUGCUUCACUGGCUUGCAGUCAGGAUCAAAUAAGAUUCUCUGUGCAAAGUCCUGUAAAAUUAGAAGUGCUACGAACAGAAGCUCUUCCAAUGCUGUUCAAAGGCUGGACGAGAAUCGGAAGAACAGGCCCCCAGUAUAAAGUGAAAGACAACAUCUACCAAAUGGUGAACAGAGCGAGUAACCCCUACUUCAGCUUGGGAGCCCACCUGUGAGAACCUGCAAGUCUUGUUUCACAUGCAAGCAACCCCACCAGGGAGAGGGCAGAGUACCAGAAAGAGGGAAGCCUAAUUUGAGAAGUUUCUUUGAAGUCAGAACCAUGGCGGAAUUUUUGACAAUGGAGCUGAUGGGAGUGUUGUUUGGCCUGAACAGGAAAUAAGGCCUGACUGAGUCUAUUACCUGCCCAACCAAAGAAGACCACAGAGAUGCAAUUGUGAAUAUCCAUCUAUUCACGGUGUGCCUCAAGAUUUCAGAUUUUUUCGGUGCUGCUGGCUGAAAGGUACUGGGAAAGAUGCUACAGAAUGAAGGAGAAAAGCCCAGGUAUAAAGAUGUGCUCCUGAAAGGAGGAAGCAAAAAAACAUCUCUUUGCUUUUCCUUCCUCCCUUAGGAAGGGUAUAGUGGACUGUGGGCUGAAUGGUGUCCUCAAACGUAUGAUCACCUCCCAAUCCCUGGAACACGGGCAUAGUACCUCAUCUGUGGAAAGGGUCUUUGUGGACAUGACUAAGUGAAGGAUCUUGAGAUAAGGAGAUCAUCAUCCUGGAUUGUGUAGGGGCCAUAAAUGCCACCACGAGAGUGAGGCCAAGGGAGAUUAAAGAGACACCCAGAAGAGAAGUCGAUGUGAAGGUCGUGGUAGAGAUUGGAGUCACAUGGCUUUAAGCAAAGGAAGGCCUGGAGCCACCAAACCUGGAAAAGGCAAGGAAUCGUUCUCCCCUAGAGCCUCUGGAGGGAGCAUGACCCUGCCCCCACCUCGAUUUCAGACUCUGGGCCUCCAGAACAGUGAGAGAAUCCAUUUUCAUUGUUUUAAGUCACCAAGUUUGCGGUAAUCUAUGACAGCAGUCAUUGGAAACUAGUACAGGUGGAAUAGGAAAAAGUUACCCAGCAGCAGAAACAACUUGAAGUCUUUUGACAUCCCUCUUUGGUCCAGGACUAGGUCCACUUGCCAGAAUCAGGAGGCAGCAGUAUGGCCAGCACGUACUCUGCGCAGAUACUGGUGGGUGGUUUCAGCGGGGUGGAGACCACCACGCUUGCUCUCCACAGAAGCGCUCCCUGACACAGGACCAACGGAGAGAGGAGAAGGCCACAUGGCCAAGGGAGAUGUAUAUAUGUCAACUGCUGGCCUUGGGAAAAUGGCUGCUGACCUCAUCAGACGUCCCUCAGGGUUGCGGAUUAUGAGUCUAAGAAGAGAUUCAGUAAAAGGACGAAAGAAAAUGCUUUCAUGUUCACACUUCUUUGUUAGCUCGUCAGCCAGGAACUGGCAGUGAGACAUUGCUUCAAAGGUCCACACCAGGGUCUUCGUCCCACAAAGAGGUCAACCUGGACUUUGUACAGACUGAAACUUAGAGAAGAUGCUUUAGCAAGAAAACAGCUCGGAAGCUGUCUCUCAACCGCCCGUCAACACAGACAGUGAGUCUUCAGCCUGGUGCUGGUCUUCACAGCAUCCUCUGACGCCGUUCUGGGUUAAAAGGUUUUGCUGACUUCUGAUUUAAGAUAACUGUGGUGACUUCCACAAGAAUGCAUGCCAGAGUAUUGUCAUGAGGAAAAAGUCUCUGUUUUUGAGGACAGCUGCUCCUUCCUCUCUUCCAAAAGAGUUGCAACAGCGUGGGAUUCUCUCCAGGCCAAUGAGCAUUGGCCCAGGGACCCUCUGUCAGGUCCCCCAGCCCCCAUGUGCUCCAUCCUUCCUUCUGCCACUGCCCAGCUGGGCAGGAGGCCUUUGGCUUGGGUGGAACAUCCCAGAAAACAGAGAAAGGCCCUCUGAAGGUCAGCCCUCAAACCUGGUAUUUGGAAAAUAUGUCUUCUUCCUUUUUGUCUUUCCCAGGAUCAAGAAAGGAUAAGGCCAUAUAUUUUUCUAAACAGCAGACACACAGCGUAAGAGAAAAUCAUUUUUUUCCAGCUAAGCCUCCCGCUGGGCUCCCCAGCCAACUUUCUGCAGCUCAUAAAAUAAACACAAUUCCCAUUUAUCCCCCCAGCUCCAAAUCCAUCAUUACUUGGCUCUGGACAAAUGGGCAGGUGGUGCUGCACGACAGGAAUUGGGUGAGCUCUUUUCUCCUUCCUGGACGGAAGGAGGAGGAUUAACACAAAAUCUUUUCUAUUAGUGAAUGGCAGGGCGGAUAACUGGGAGGUUCCUGUGAAUUUCAUCCUGGAGAAAAGUAUGGAGGUGAUAAUUAGAAUAGUCUUGCUGUCUCUGAAAAGGCAAGGCUGCAAUC